rnacentral:rRNA from 1 species
UACGAAGGGGGCUAGCGUUGUUCGGAAUUACUGGGCGUAAAGCGCGCGCAGGCGGUCUUCCAAGUCAGUGGUGAAAGCCUGGAGCUCAACUCCAGAACUGCCAUUGAAACUGUUAGACUUGAGUACGAGAGAGGUGAGUGGAAUUCCCAGUGUAGAGGUGAAAUUCGUAGAUAUUGGGAAGAACACCAGUGGCGAAGGCGGCUCACUGGCUCGUAACUGACGCUCAGGCGCGACAGCGUGGGGAUCAAACAGA